AUGGCUCGAGCAGAUUGGAAGUUGGUUUUUGUUGCACUGGUGUUGAUUGGAUUUGUGGCAGCACAGAAUGCUACCACUCCGAAACCAGGAGCUGCUACAACUGCUGCUCCUUCUACAGCACUGGGAGUGUUCGGUGGUCUUCUGAAAGCGUGCACUGACGUAAAAUUAGGCUUUGCAAAUGCCUUUCGAGACUUGCUUGGAUAAUGCAACCAAUGGAAUUCAAAUAUUUGUUAAUAUUAUAAAUUCAAAAAUUGUUAUGUCGUUAUAAUAAAUUUAUGUGUCAAGACUA